rnacentral:rRNA from 1 species
UACGUAGGGUGCGAGCGUUAAUCGGAAUUACUGGGCGUAAAGCGUGCGCAGGCGGUCUGUUAAGACCGAUGUGAAAUCCCCGGGCUUAACCUGGUAACUGCAUUGGUGACUGGCAGGCUUUGAGUGUGGCAGAGGGAGGUAGAAUUCCACGUGUAGCAGUGAAAUGCGUAGAGAUGUGGAGGAAUACCGAUGGCGAAGGCAGCCUCCUGGGCCAACACUGACGCUCAUGCACGAAAGCGUGGGGAGCAAACAGG